AUGCUAGCACCAAGGAAAAAGUCUAGGACCUAUAAGUAGAGUCACAUGGACUGAGGUAAAAGAGAGGCAAUCUGACAGUCCCAGAGACUGUCUGUCAUUAAUUCAUAUGAACUCAGCACGCAUUAUUUUUGGACAAAGAAGAUGGCUUUUGCCAAUCAUUUCAGCCCCUCUUUAGCACUUUUGAGUGUGUUUAUCUUGACAGCUUUUUAUUUACUCUUUUUCCCCCCAGUGGUAUAUCAGAAAUAUGGCCCCAUCUGGAGGCAGUGCAUAACUUGAUGUUUUCCAUAGCCCUUCCAAUCAGGAGUAACUACAGCUGUCAGGGGAGCACUGAAAAAAUGUCAAUUAGCUAUAAAAGUUCCACAAACAAGCAUUAUGUCUUCCUUUUACGAGUCCCCGGGUGCAGCUCAAAGUGGAGUGAUGAUGUCCGUGCUUAGAAAUGGCUGUUGGGGGUCCCUGCAUCUUUUUUCCCAUUAAUAAUUGCUUGGCACUGGCACUGGAGUCGUUGCAUGGUGGAGCCCAGGCACGCAGAGUGUGUAGGUUAAAAAUAACCACAGUUCCAGCUUCCCUUGUGGAGCAGUGGGUUAAGGAUCUGACAUUGUCACUGCAGUGGCUUGGGUCCUCGCUGUGGCAUAGGUUCAAUUUCUGGCCCAGGAACUUCCACAUGUGGAAGAUAUGGCCCAAAAUACCCUCCAAAACUACAGUUCCCAUCACAUUUAUGGCGCUGAGUGGUGGCACUGAGUCCCUCUCUGUGCAAAGCAUGUGGAUGAGUUAAUCCCUCCAGGGAGCCAUCUGCACAGCCCUCCAGCCUCUUGGCUCCUCCCUCCUUCCUGACUCUCCAAGCCCUGGCUACUUGUCUGAAAAACUGAGGUUGCUAGGGCUCCAAAGAGGAAUAAGAGAGCAAUCUGCCUCCUGGGGUCACUCUUUAUAAUUGUUCAGGACCCAACCCACGUGGGUUUAUUUGCAGAAAAAUGUUCUGUCCUCCAGGCUAAAAGGCUAAAAGAAAAUCUCUCCCCUUCCCCCCACCUGAGUAAAACCAGGUAGGUACAGAUGGUGGAUGUGACCCCUCUUGACAUGCCUUUUUUUUUUUUCUUUUUAAUUAUAGUUGAUUCACAAUGUUCUGUCAAUUUCUGCUCCACAGCAAAGUGACCCAGCCAUACAUCCAUAUAAAUUCUUUUUUUCAUAUUACCCUCCAUCAUGUUCCAUCACAAAUGACUAGUUACAGUUCCCUGUGCUACACAGCAAGAUCUCAUUGCUUAUCCACUCCAAAUGAAAUAGUUUGCAUCUACUACCCCCAAACUCCCAGUUCCUCCCAUUCCCUCCCCCUCCCUCUCCCUCUUGGCAACCCAAGUCUGUUCUCAUAAAAUCUUAUUAACAAAGACAGACAGCCAACCCAAGUGCUCUAAUUUGUCAGUUGUAUAUUUUUUUAACUACCGCAUUGAAAUAUGAUUUAUCUCAGCUAUUGAAGUUUUUGGUGCCUCCUUAAAUCUUGCACCUGGAGCCAGUGCUUCACUCUCCUCACCCUGGUCCCAGCAUGGCCUUUUAGCCAGAGAGGAAGUGGGUGUGGUCCUUCCUUCAGCAAGGGCUCAGCUGUGUGUUCCCAGGGACUGACUGUCACCUUCAGCAGAGUUGGGGCCGCUGUGCCUUGAGUGGAGGUGGAAUCUGGAAAGAGAUGUACACAGACCUUGGCUCCAGCUCUUGAUCUGCAACCACGUAGCCUUCAGCAAAUCUUCCAACUUCUCUGAGCCUCCAGCUCCCUGCCGACAAAGCUGAAGCAGUAAUACCGACUUCGGAGGAUAGCUGUAAAGAUUAAAUGAGAUAAAGUAAGUCAAGUGGCCAGCCUUGGUUAAGUGGCACUUUCACAAUGUUUGCAGAGUGAAAAAAAUGCACAGAAUGUGGUUGAAGGCUGGGAGGAUUUUAUAUCAUCAGAUUGCCUUCCCCAAACUGGACCUUUUGUGUUGUUUUCACUUGCUGUGUCAGUUUUGGGAGAGUUCUGCCUGGUUUGUGUCCUGUGCUCAACCCAAGGUUAAGGUUAAUAUGUGAAUCUCUUCAUACAGAGUUAAUACAGAUAAUGCUUUGCAGCUAGGAAGCAUCUAAUAAGUAUUUGUUCCUUAAGUGGAAAGAAAGGUUUAUUUAUUUUCUUUUUAGGGCCACAUCUGUGGCAAAUGGAAGUUCCAGGCUAGUUCCAGCAAUGCGAGAUCAGAACUGCAUCUGCAACCUACACCGCAGUUUGUCAUAAUGCCAGUUCCUUAACCCACUGACGAGGCUAGGGAUUGAACUCUCAUCCUCAUGGAUACUAGUCAGAUUCUUUUUUUUUUUGCUUUUUAGGACCGCACCUGUGGCACAUGGAGGUUCCCAGGCGAGGGGUCCAAUUGUAGCUACAGCUAUGCCACAGCCAUAGUAAUCUCAGAUCCGAACCAUGUCUGCAACCCACACCAUACCUUGUGGCAACACUGGAUCCUUAACCCAAUGAGGAAGGCCAGGGAUCGAACCUGCAAUUUCAUGGUUCCUAGUUGGAUUCGUUUCCACUGCACCACGAUGGGAACUCCACUAGUCAGGUUCUUAACCUACUGAGCCACAUGGGAACUCCAAGAAAGUUUAUCGAUGAGCAAUUACAUGAAUGAAUUAGAAUGAGGGAGUGUGGUUUUAUCCCCCCACUGAAUGGAAUAUUUGAACAAUUCACACUGUCAGCCUUAUGGGUUUUUGAAGUUCUUUGAACUCAAGGAAGGCAAGUCUAGGCACCUUGAAGGCUUCCCUGACCCCUGAGAUUCCUAAGUAGGGGGGGAUCACAUGUACAUUGUUGCCUGGGUCCUUGUGCCUCCCUCCCCAGUAGGAGCAGAAAGAAGAAGCCAAUUUAGUGCUCUUGUUAAGUUGCUAGAUUGGCCCACAGAUUUUGAAUGAAUUCCUAACUGCUCUGAAGUCAGAAAGUUCAUGUCCUUGGGGAAAGAUGACACUGGGGGCAUUUGGUGGAAAUGAUGUCCACAGGCUAGAAGAUUUAUUUUUCAAGCUGGGAUCAAUUUAGUAGUAAAAGGGGGUGCUCUUAAUGAUUACACUGGAAUAAAAGACACCAAUCCAGGCUCUUCUGGAGAAGGACACAUAGUCAUCCUCCUUCCAAGGCAAUUCUGUCUGCAAAGUGCUUCCUGUUCAGUGUUGGAAAAUCAGUCAUCUCUUCCUCUGUCCAGUGGGUGGCUGGGUGCUUGCCCUUUGCAGCCCCUGCUUUCCAGUGGGUGGUGGGACGAUCGCACCCCCAUUUUCUGGCUAUACCACCUCUUUAGCCAGAAGCCUGGGAUCACUGAGAGCUGGGCUCUUCAUCCAUGGCCAUAGGCUGGCUCUCCUGCUGCACUGGGACUUUCUGUGUGAGAGAGUCAAGUCUUCCAGGAACCAGGAAAAUGGAAUCAGAAGUAUAACAGCCAGGUCUCUCGUUGUGGCUCAGAUGGUUAAGAAUCAAACAUAGUGUCAAUGAGGAUGCAGGUUCGAUCCCUGGCCUUGCUCAGCAGGUUAAGGAUCUGCCAUUGCUGUGAGCUGUGGUGUAGGUCACAGAUGUGGCUCCGAUCCCAUGUUGCUGUGACUGUGGCGUAGGCCAGCAGCUGUAGCUCCAAUUCAACUCCUAGCCUGGGAACUUCCAU
rnacentral:lncRNA from 1 species